GACGAACGCUGGCGGCGUGCUUAACACAUGCAAGUCGAACGGAAAGGCGCUGCUUUUGUGGGGUGCUCGAGUGGCGAACGGGUGAGUAACACGUGAGUAACCUGCCCUUGACUUUGGGAUAACUUCAGGAAACUGGGGCUAAUACCGGAUAGGAGCUCCUGCUGCAUGGUGGGGGAUGGAAAGUUUCGGCGGUUGGGGAUGGACUCGCGGCUUAUCAGCUUGUUGGUGGGGUAGUGGCUUACCAAGGCUUUGACGGGUAGCCGGCCUGAGAGGGUGACCGGCCACAUUGGGACUGAGAGACGGCCCAGACUCCUACGGGAGGCAGCAGUGGGGAAUAUUGCACAAUGGGCGGAAGCCUGAUGCAGCAACGCCGCGUGCGGGAUGACGGCCUUCGGGUUGUAAACCGCUUUCGACUGUGACGAAGCGUGAGUGACGGUAAUGGGUAAAGAAGCACCGGCUAACUACGUG
rnacentral:rRNA from 1 species